AACAAGUAAUAAAGAGUAAGUAAAGUAUCGUUCCCAUGGAGAAUUAACUAACAAAGUUCACUAAACAUUAACCCAUAACCAUCUUAGUCUUAUUUAAAUAAAUGGCUUUGAGUUUUUAUAUUUAAACUAUUAACUUAAAUAAACCUAACUAUUCCUAGAGUGAGACUAGAUAAUAAAGACCUGAGAUUACAAUUUCAUCUAUU
rnacentral:lncRNA from 1 species